rnacentral:lncRNA from 1 species
CCAUACAACCUGGGGGUUUACAUCUUUUAGAUCGGUCCCUUGCGCAAUUUAAAUACGGAAGCACAUCCAACAACUCCCUUCCCUAUGUUCAGAAAACGAUGCACACCUACUAAACAUCUUAUAUAAGUUAAAGCCGAAUACGUUUAUUUACAUAGAGUAGAUGGACAUCUUUAGUCAGUACAUCAAAAUGCCGUAGUUUUCUAUACUCGGCUACACUUCAAAGGAUG